CAGUAUUGUGGGAUGUGGCUCCGGAAAGAAUGAAAACCAGAAAAGUUUGUCUUUGCACCGGUUACCAAGAAGUGAAAAUAGAAAAGGAAAAUGGUUAGAAGCAAUUGAAACUGAAAAUAUCAAGCCAAAUGUAAAGGAUAUAUCAUAGUAUGUUCCCUACAUUUCCCCGAAAGUGCUUUCAAUAGAACAAUGGAUGUGAUUAGUCUGCACGAUGAUGCUAUACCAGUAUGUUUGCCGCUGCAUUCACACAGGGUACCGGUUGAGCCUCAAAUCCCGAACUCAAAAAUGAACAGAGUGAAUCCGAGUGCAUCACAGGCUGCACGAAAUAGUUUAGUUCUAUAAUUUUCUCUGUUAUUAAGUAAUUAUUGUUUUUUUUUUUUUCUAUUACCUACUGUAUAUUGUGUUGUUCAUCGUAAUAAAAAACUAUUAUAUACCUA